UGCAGUACAGAGGUGAAUGGCUUGGCCAAA
rnacentral:piRNA from 1 species